rnacentral:rRNA from 1 species
UACGAGAGGCGCAAACGUUAUUCGGAAUUAUUGGGCGUAAAGAGCUCGUAGGCGGUGUGUCGCGUCGACCGUGAAAACCUGCAGCUUAACUGUGGGCGUGCGGUCGAUACGGGCAUCACUGGAGUUCGGUAGGGGAGACUGGAAUUCCUGGUGUAGCGGUGAAAUGCGCAGAUAUCAGGAGGAACACCGGUGGCGAAGGCGGGUCUCUGGGCCGAUACUGACGCUGAGGAGCGAAAGCGUGGGGAGCAAACAGG